GUCGGUCCGGGCGGUAUGAAACGACUUCAGCGCUGGGCCGCUCUCUAGGAGAGCGCCGUGCCUCCUCGCAAGCUCGGGCCGGGUCGCCUGGUCGUGCCCUCACGGGUACGCCAGGCGCCCGCCCGGACUGUUGGCGGGUGACGGCUCCGGCCGCUCGUCCAGCACGCUCGUCGGCGGCGCUUCAGAUUCGGGCACUUAUCCGACCCGUCUUGAAACACGGACCAAGGAGUCUAGCGUGUGCGCGAGUCAUUGGGUGUAAAACCUAAAGGCGUAAUGAAAGUGUCAGAGGGGGCCCCGCCCCCUCAGUGGGAGGAUGAGCUCCCGGCCUUCCGGCCGGUGCUCCGCACUCCCGGGGCGUUUCAUUCUCAUUGCGAGUCGAGACGCCCCAGGAGCGCACACGCUGGUCCCCGAAAGAUGGUGCACUAUGCCUGGCCAGGACG
rnacentral:rRNA from 1 species